AGCCAACCGUGGCGACCGCAGCCCGCCCCGCACUGUCUGUCACGCGGCCCGCAGCCCCCUCCGCGAAGCCCGGGCCCGGGGAUCCAGGUGGGCACCAGGCCUCUUCUCCCACUUGGGCAUUUCCUGCAGCGGCCCGUCCAGGUUUCACCAUGCCUCAGUGAGGCCCUGGAGCCUCACCAGCUCCAGGAAGCCCCCUCUGAUUACUCCAGAGUGAGGAAAAGGAUCUAGUCGGCCCCAUAUACGGUUAUAUCCCCAGCGCCUAAUACUAUGCCUGGCACUAGUGGGGGCUCCAGAGCAAGAGGGAAGUUUUGGACGAUGGCAUCUUCCCCGGACGGUCCCAGGAGUGUGGCUGUUUUGAAAAAUCAGGCGUUCCUGCCAGAGGCGCUUCAGGCUUUCAACAGCCCUCUUAGCGCUCCUCUUUCUCAGGAUCCCAGUGAUUAACGUCACAAGCCCUUCCCGGAGACUGUGCAGCGAGACGCUGGAGGAGAACCGAGAAGUGAGACGUCAGUGAGUCAGAACUCAUUCAAAGCCCCGGAGUUUCCCGGCCGUUACCUUCCACGCCUGGACCUAUGAGUCAGGGUCAUCUCGCCCCCGUUGUGUGUGGUGCCUACAUGCUUCC